rnacentral:lncRNA from 1 species
GAGGAAAAGAAGAAGAAAGAAGAAUAAAAAGAAAGAGAUAAAGAAAUAAACAAACAAAAUAAAAAGGCUCUCCUGUACUUCUUUUUCAGGGUGAGAAAGCUUGGUGUUCAGGACAAUGGAUGCCAAAUAGAAGAUAUGUAUUUGUGCCUGCUAAAUACUUUUGCCUAUAAGCAACAACACAGUAUCUUGGCUUGUCCAUUAUCUCAAGUCACUGAACGAGGAAGUAGAUUGCUAAUGACAGAGAACGGAGGAAAGCUUACAUUUUAGGUCAUUCACAAAGUUGGAUAAAUUUAAUUGGAGUUUAAUUGUCCAGUUCCUUCUUUUGAUUGCUAGUAACAGAGCUCAGACCCUUUGCCAAGGAGGGCAUCUGUGUUGGGUUUUGGUUUUCUUGAUUUGAAAAGCAUUGGAAAAGCCAUCUCUGAGUGAGGCAGAGAAGUCAGAGAACUCUAAGAGUCAAAUCAAAGUCAGUGGCCAGUGGAGCCUGAACCCCAGUGAUCAUUCUAUUCCUGUCAUGUUGAUAGUCCACAUAAACCCAAUAGGAGAAUACAGAAUAGCCAUAGGACAUUGAAACAAAGAGGCCUCUGCCUAGAACUGGAUAUCACUACAAACCUUGGAUUCUCAGCAUUUCUGCCUUUUAUGUUGAGGAACUUUGGGGGCUUCAGGCUUUAAGAGUCCAUGUUCUGGUCAGUGCAGUAAUGUACUUGGUACUUGUGUAGUCUUUAUACAUAUACAGAGUUCUGCAUUCUCCAUGGUUUGUAGACAAUUGAUACCUUCAUAUGGAUGUUCAGCUUCUUUUAAUGGCAAGAAACCCUCUUCAGAAUAUGAGAAAAGCCUGUCCAUCUUCAGAUAGUCCAGGAUUGAGAAGCUAGUUGCCUCCAAGCUUACUGCCCAAAUAAGUUGAAAACUGGUUUCAGACUCGCAUCUAACAUUGCUGUGUUGUAACAGUAAUACAAGCCUUCCUGUGCAUGGUAGUAUACAUCUCCCACAUGCUGUCUGGCAAGCUCCCAGGUUUGGAUUUAUGUUGACAGAUAUAGAAUCCUCUAUGGUGAGAGGAGUAUUUCUGAUCCCAUGAAUCAUCCUCUACUACCUCAUGUAUACAGGGCCAUCGCUCUACAGUCAAUGUAGAAAAUUGGAGCAUCACAGUGUCAGAUCAUUCCCACGCUAUCAAACCAAAUAUGACCAGGUUUGUACUCAUUAGCAAGGUUGUAUGGCUCAGGCAUUAUUUUUGCACUACCAAAUGCUGUAUUGUGAAGCCAUUCUCCUUAUUUCAUAGGUAGCAUGGAUAGAACCAUUCUAAGAAUGACGUGCUCCUCCUCACAACAGCCAUUCCCAACUCUCCAACCAAACCCCAGUGGGGUCCCGGGGCUCCAAAGAUCCAUUUAUGAAACACGGAGCUUGGGCAGUUUCUGAAGCCUUUGAGAUGCAUGGUGAUCAGGCCUAUGCACUUGGCCUUGCAGUCUAGAAAGAAUAAUAUAGUUCCCCUAAGACAGUGAAAAAAAUGCCAUGAAUGAAUUCUGUGCAGCUGAAGACAAGUGGAUAAGUGGAACACAUAAAGUGGGGGUACCAGAGCUGCCCAGGCCCUUUGUUAUACCAGCACUAAGACCAUGCCCCUGCUCGCAAUGCCUGCUCCCCCAGGAUGGCUUUAUAAAACCAGUACAGCACCAGGCUGGAGUUCAGACAUAGUAAGCUUAGCAUGGACUAUCCCACAGGCCUGAACAAGGCCACUUUGAGUAUCAACAUUGGCAGUAUCACAGCCAUAGCCUGGGACCUCACCUCCUGAAAUGCCCUCAACUUGAUGCUAACAGAGACUUAAAUCCACCAGUCCUGAUGAAUGUGCCUUUCAUACGCCCUGCCUCAAUCCCAGCAUUGUUACAUCUGCCUUGACCAACCUGGCAUCUAUGCAAGGAGGUUUAAGCUCCUGCGAGGACUGCAAAGGACUGGGAGUUUGAGAGAAAUGUAGGCUGAGAGAGCUGAGGCAGGUCCGUUCCAUCUCUGCUGUACUCAUCCCAGCCUAGUUCAUUAUCCAUUGUCUCCGAUCUGCCCCUCGAGGAAAUAAUUUGGUCUAAAUAAUCUCAGAAUAGGGCUCCAGAAUAAAGUUUUUAAAAGACUAGCUGCAUUACACCAUGUACUCCAAUUCAACUGGAGAUUAAACAAGAGAGAAAGGAGACAGAGUCCCCCAGA